rnacentral:rRNA from 1 species
UACUGGAGACAGGUGCUGCAUGGCUGUCGUCAGCUCGUGUCGUGAGAUGUUGGGUUAAGUCCCGCAACGAGCGCAACCCUUGCCUUUAGUUGCCAGCAGUUCGGCUGGGCACUCUAAAGGGACUGCCGGUGUUAAACCGGAGGAAGGUGGGGAUGACGUCAAGUCCUCAUGGCCUUUAUGACCAGGGCUACACACGUACUACAAUGGCCGAUACAAAGGGCAGCGACACUGCGAGGUGAAGCCAAUCCCGUAAAAUCGGUCUCAGUCCGGAUUGGAGUCUGCAACUCGACUCCAUGAAGUUGGAAUCGCUAGUAAUCGUGGAUCAGCAUGCCACGGUGAAUACGUUCCCGGGCCUU